rnacentral:rRNA from 1 species
GAUGAACGCUGGCGGCGUGCCUAAUACAUGCAAGUCGAGCGAACGGACGAGAAGCUUGCUUCUCUGAUGUUAGCGGCGGACGGGUGAGUAACACGUGGAUAACCUACCUAUAAGACUGGGAUAACUUCGGGAAACCGGAGCUAAUACCGGAUAAUAUUUUGAACCGCAUGGUUCAAAAGUGAAAGACGGUCUUGCUGUCACUUAUAGAUGGAUCCGCGCUGCAUUAGCUAGUUGGUAAGGUAACGGCUUACCAAGGCAACGAUGCAUAGCCGACCUGAGAGGGUGAUCGGCCACCCUGGAACUGAGACACGGUCCAGACUCCUACGGGAGGCAGCAGUAGGGAAUCUUCCGCAAUGGGCGAAAGCCUGACGGAGCAACACCGCGUGAGUGAUGAAGGUCUUCGGAUCGUAAAACUCUGUUAUUAGGGAAGAACAUAUGUGUAAGUAACUGUGCACAUCUUGACGGUACCUAAUCAGAAAGCCACGGCUAACUACGUG